rnacentral:lncRNA from 1 species
CGGGGAAGGUAGCCUGCCUCAGGUGUUGCCCUUCCCCUUCCCAUCAGGAUACUCUGUCUUGGAUACUGAAGUUUCCCUAAGAGAGCUGAAGACGGAGAGAAGCAUUGUCCUAAACCUGCAGUCGCCUUGGAUUUUUGGAAGUACAAAACCUGAAAGGUCAGGCUACCCCCAGAUGACAGUGAUCACCCAUGAGGGCCAAGCUGCAUUCUGAAGCGGAAGUGACCCUCUCACAGGAGCCAGAUUGACUCACAGUAGCAUCUUGAGGCCAUCACACUGGUGAGGUGAUGAUCAAGGAGAUGGCAUCUGGACCAGGACUUCUUCUGUGCCCUUAUAUGUUAUUUAUUUGUUUGU